GUCCUUCACAUUCUUAGUCAAGUAGCUCCAAGUAGACUCUUAUAGAGAGAGGAGGUACAAUAAAUGCACCCCAUAUACACCUCAACACAGGCCCUUUGCCUGGUCUGUAUUGUGAAUUGGGGGACAAAA